ensembl:lncRNA
GAAGCAGAUGAUAUGAAUGUCUGUUUCCACACAUUCAGGUGGGAUGUACUCUGAGAGCCUGUGCUGGUUCCUCUGGGAAUAUGAAGUGUGUUUGUGUUUCUGCAGCUCGGUUUGCGUUCGGUGUGAUCUUCUAAACUCAGGGCUGUUUCUGUGUGUUAUCGUUUUCCUGCAGGCGCCUCCAUCCGUCCGUAACUUACUACUGUCCCCUGCUGGCCGUCCACAGCACUCUACAGGACCCCUGGCUCUGUGUGUGUGUGUGUGUGUGUGUUGA